AGCAGCCCUCACCGGGGUGUCCGUCCGGCCUUAGGGUAAGGCCGGACGAUGUCCGGGCUGAACUUAACAGCCUCUCCCUCAGGCCGGACAGCUUCGUCAGGCCCGGCAGCUCGAUCAGUGUUCCUACCUGAAGUGGCACCUGGAGAAGCGCUGACCUCGUCACCCGAAGCCUGGGGAGGAGGACGGUCUGUGGAAUAGGCUCCGGCGAAGUCCUUUUCCUCAAACGCAGAGGGGUUAAAAGGCCAGAUCCCUGGACUUGAGAACCCGGAGGUAAUGUUGUUCACUGUCGCAGCCUUUGGUAAGGCUUCAGCAACGAUGGAGGGCACAUCAUAAAUUGAGAUGUUUAUCCCUGGGUGUCUCCUCAUCCACCUGUCCGCCGCACUGUUUACGUACCCCUUUAGGGGGCCGAAGACACUAAUGUCCAUUGGCUGCAACCUGUGGGUGCAGUGGGGAGGGAAUGACAGCAGCACUAUGCCAUUGGCUCUGCAGUAAUCAAUUGCUGCAAUUGACAGGUGGGACGGGUGAUUGUCCAGCAGGAGGAGCAGCUUCGACUCCUUGGACACACGGGUGUGCCUGGUCAAGUGGGCCAGGUACAGGAGGAAGUCUGGCUCCUUCAUCCAGCCAGUUGGGUUGCCGCUGCCAGCACAGCCAACGGGUCCAGGAAGUGGUCUUUGAACCGCUUACGGGGGAAGAUGAAGAAUGGCGGAACAAGGUCGCCCUGCGCAUUGCCUGCCAGGGCAACUGUGACCAGGGUCCCCCUCUCUGCUGAGGUCACUGACCCGACCUGCUUCUGCCCCAUCUGGGUGACGACACGGUCUGGCACCUGGACAGUGGUGACCCCUGUAAAUAGUUGUCUGGACAACCGUUGUUGGCUAGUGGCCUCUGGACGCCGAAGGGAGAGGCUGCCACUGCGCUCCAUGAAGGAGGUGAACCAGUCCUUCCCCGCCAUGCUCUUCCUCGACCAGGAUGCAGGGAAAGGGCAGCUGAAGUGCACUGCCAGCUCAAAGGCAAAUUUUCUGACCUGA
rnacentral:lncRNA from 1 species